rnacentral:lncRNA from 1 species
ACGCGCCACUUCUGCGCGUUCCAUCCUGCUCCGCCCCUCUGCCUGCUCCACUCUGCCCCGCGCCCUGCACACCUGUUGGCGCUGAAAACGGGGAGAGAAUCCCCACUUUCUCCCCCUCCUCCUCCCUUUCUUCUUAAUCUUCUCCGCGGUGUUCUUGCACUCCCUCUUCAUGGUGAAUGUGGAAUCCAUUCGUCAAGGUCCCUAACCCUGUGCGGAGACUUUGGUGGGUGCUGCACUGUGUGUGGGUUAGAAUGGGGGAAGGUGGCCGCACAAGGGCAGGCUCCCGGUGUGGGGAGGCAGCGGGGUCCUCCGCUGGGGUGGCGUGGGGGCGACCUGCAGGGGGCGGCACCUCACACCUCACAAGGUCCUGCAGCUCACUGGGCUCUCUCGCCCGCAGCUGGGAUUCAGACCUGGGACACUCCUGAUCCAGGCCUGGCGGGGGCCGGCCCCUUCCCGGGGAGCUUUGAGAAGUGGGUCUGACCCACCACCUGAACGUGCCGGUCAGCAAGGUCCAGGGCCCUGGUCAGUUGCCUGGGCAGCUGCUGCUGAGGACACAGGAGAGCUCCUCACAUCCAAUCCACCAGGAAGCCCUGGGGACACGGACGACACGGACCGGGAUCCAGAGCCGAAAUCCAAUUAAGCGGGACUGGGGCUGUGGCUGCCUCUCUGCCCACUUCCUGGUCAGUUCUGCUGAGUGGAGAGAGAUGGGGGCCCCCGAGACCUGUGCCGCGGGACGCCGGGACUGGAACUGGGGCUGUGUCCGCCUCCACGUGUGGGGAUAUCACGGAGAGACAGUGCCUGGCCCAGCCCAAGGAGCCCCUCCCACCCCCACAGCCCACAGCCCGUGCACCAGGACUGGUGGCAGAGCAGACCCACCCGUGGACAAGCUGGGAGCCCAGGGCCCUGGUGAGGCAUGAGGGCCCUGCCCAGCCAUUGAGAAACUGGUUGUUGUGGGUUUUAGUCUCCAGAGCUCCGCCUUGUUCCGUGGCUGUCACUGCUCCGUGGACAACUGCUCCUCCCCCAGCCCAGGACAGCCCUGCCUGCUUUGGUCCUCGGUGGCUCUCCAGAAGUGAGGUGGCCUCUCCCAGUCCACACCUCGUCCUGAGUCAGGGGUCCUGUGGAGGCGGUGUGGCUGUCAGGGGAGGGGCCCCGGGGACGGGGAGUCCUGAGUCAGGGGUCCUGAUGGAGAAGCGUGGCUGUCAGGGGGAGGGGCCCUGGGGACGGGGAGUCCUGAGUCAGGGGUCCUGUGGGAGGCAGCGUGGCUGUCAGGGGAGGGCCCCGGGGGACGGGGAGCCCGCACCCCUCCCCUCUCCCUUCUGGGGUCACACCCUCGCUCUGCCACCUG